rnacentral:rRNA from 1 species
AGUGAACGCUGGCGGUAGGCCUAACACAUGCAAGUCGAACGGCAGCACAGUAAGAGCUUGCUCUUACGGGUGGCGAGUGGCGGACGGGUGAGGAAUACAUCGGAAUCUACUUUUUCGUGGGGGAUAACGUAGGGAAACUUACGCUAAUACCGCAUACGACCUACGGGUGAAAGCAGGGGAUCUUCGGACCUUGCGCGAUUGAAUGAGCCGAUGUCGGAUUAGCUAGUUGGCGGGGUAAAGGCCCACCAAGGCGACGAUCCGUAGCUGGUCUGAGAGGAUGAUCAGGCACACUUGAACUGAGACACGGUCCAGACUCCUACGGGAGGCAGCAGUGGGGAAUAUUGGACAAUGGGCGCAAGCCUGAUCCAGCCAUACCGCGUUGGUGAAGAAGGCCUUCGGGGUGGAAAGCCCUUUUGUUGGGAAAGAAAAGCAGCAGGUUAAUACCCCGCUGUUCUGACGGUACCCAAAGAAUAAGCACCGGCUAACUUCGUG